UCAGCUUGGUGUCGUCAGCAAACUUGCUGAGGGUGCACUCGAUUCCGUCAUCGAUGUCAUUGAUAAAGAUGACAUUGGUAAAGAUGUCAUUGAUAAAGAUGUUAAAGAACACCAGUCCCAAGACAGACCCCUGGGAGACGCCACUCUGUUCGUAGCAGAGCUUUCUCAGAGGCAUUCAAGGUGAGGCUGGAUGGGGCUUUGAGCAACCUGGUCUAGCCAGAGGUGUCCCUGCCUCUAGCAGGGGAGUUGAAAUGAGAUGAUCUUAAAGAUCUUUUCCAACCCAAACCAUUCUAUGAUAUAGUUCCCUAUCAGCAGUCAGUUGAGCAAAGAAGGGAAAGUAGCAAGCAGCCACUGCAGCCUUUUAGCUACAAGCAUAGCCUUAAUGGCUCCUCAUAGUUUUUUAAACUAGCUGAGUACAGAGUUAAACAGAAUAAUAGUCUGUCUCUCAUCCUUUUGUUUUCUUGUUGCUUAUCCUCUGUAAAUACGUGGUAAGUGUCUCCAUUGUUAACUUUGAUUUUGAUUUCCCUGCGAUCCAUCAGCAAUGCCUGUUCAUAAUUGAUUUAAUACUACACCUUCAUGCUCAGACAGUGCUCAGCUAUGACACCAAGCAGUCAGCUUAGAUUGUCCACUGACAGCUAAGAACUAAUCAAGAUUUGUUCGCAUGAAGAUGGAUUUGAACAAACUAGGCUGACACCUGCAGAGCAGCCAUCAUGGUCUGUAGUAGCAGUGGUGCACAUUAACAGGCUUGAGACCACGUAUUCAUGUAUUAGACCUAGGAGUUUUAAAUGAGCUGUUACUAUCUAUCAAAUAAUUUGUACUGUUAAGUAUGCAAAGAUAUGUCCAAAGGAAUUGUUGUGAUCUACAGCAACAACUUUAUUUCUCUUUUACUUCAACAAACUUUUUUUUCUUUAAUCAAUUGCUUUUCUACUUGAUUACACUGUUAAUAAAGAAGCACACAGACAAUAUUGAAUGACACACUCAGAAUUUGUGAAGCCUGCACAGAGCACUAAGACAAGCGUCCUCACGAGCUGGCAGUUCUUUUCAAACCAGACAGUUGGCCUGGCUGCACAAGUGUCACUGGUGCCUUGCCUUUGCAGAUCAUGGGGUCCGCAUCUGUUACCCUCAAAAUAA
rnacentral:lncRNA from 1 species